GUCCCUGUGGAGCAAGGCAGCUCACUCUCUGUGAUGGCUGUACACAAUACAAGGGAGAGACGGUGGUUCGAAUCCACCAGGGGACG